GCAUUGGUGGCUCAAUGCUAGAAUUCUUGCCUUCAGGUAGGAGACCUAGGUUCAAUUCCCAGUCAAUGCA
rnacentral:tRNA from 1 species